AACAUUGAGAUAUUUAAAAAAUAAUAGAGAAUAAGGCUUGAAUAGAAAGAGUGAAAGAAGUUAAUGGUUCUCUGUAGGAGGAAAGAUAGCUUUGGAAUGUGUUGGGUGGAAGGGAGGAGAACAACAGGUUGAGAUAGGGGAGACAGAUGGACAUCUGUGGACUAGGGGAAGGAGGGGAUGAGGUCAGGAGGUGAGGUCAUUUCCCCUUAAGGGAGUAAUCAGGGUUUAGUAUCUGGUUACCUUCUUCCUGUUGAACUAUAAGAUGUAAGGAUUGGAGAGAAGGAGGAGUGUCUUAAGUGGGAUGUAUAUUACUGUGAUAGUGAAAAAUGUUUUGCUGUCUGAAUACAGCUGUGUCAAUCCUUUGAGAACAAUUAAACUUGGUUAAGCUUCUCUAAUGACCAUUAGUUAUUUACUCUGAAAAAUAAGAACCUAACACUUGGUGUUUUUGGCAGGGGAAAUCCAGCUGCAGCUAUGUAGUCAACAUCUCUACCUGGUCAUUCAGGUCGGGUAAUAGUGAACUAGCUGUCACCAUUAGAGUAUUGAUCUGUAGGUCUCAGCCUUUCAAAUACUGACCUUUUCCUCGGCAUCCAUGGUCCCCAUCAUCGCCUCUGGAAGGACUGGUACUGACACCAGACACAACAGAGGGGAGGACAACGAAGAGGAGGAGGACUAUGUGAACGUUGAAAACGUCUGCUAUGACAGAGGUCUGGAGAGAGAGUGAAGGGCGAAAAGAAGAAUGGGAAGGAAAAAGGGCACAUCUGUGGGAAAUUGGAGGAUGUCUAUGUCAAAGAGGAGGAAGGGUGUGUGGCGGGUCUCAUGAGAAAAUGAAUAGUGCAGAUGAUGGUGAAGAUUACUUUAAUGUCUCUUUCUAUGACAAUGCUGUACCACAUGACAUGAAUGAAGACAUUUAUCAAAACGAUUAAGAAAAGUAACAGCGGUGGCCGGUAGCCUAGUGGUUAGAGCGUUGGACUAGUAACCGAAAGGUUGCAAGAUCGAAUCCCUGAGCUGACAAGGUCAAAAUCUGUCGUUCUGCUCCUGAACAAGGCAGUUAACCCACUGUUCCUAGGCUGUCAUUGAAAAUAAGAGUUUGUUAUUAACUGACUUGCCUAGGUAAAAAAAAAUAAACUUAACUCAUUUGCUUCAACACAUUGAUUUGGUCCUUUGUGACAUGUAAAUAAAGUUAAAUAAUAAUUCAGAUGCAAUAGUAUAACAACUACAGUUGCUACAGUUGACACUUAAAUUAGACAUUAUAUUGCUUUAUUUGAUUUAGCUUUUUGUAACCAAUCAAAAUGUUCAGCAUAUUUGAUCCAUUGGGUCGAAUUCCAAACUGUAGUUCAGAUGUAUGCAUUGGUGGGGUGUCACUUUGUGUCUUUGAUCAGUUCCAGUGUUGUUGAGGAACUAGCAUUAUGUGUUCUAACUGUUGGGUGAUUGCAUUAAACUGAACU